rnacentral:rRNA from 1 species
UACGGAGGGGGCGAGCGUUAUUCGGAAUCACUGGGCGUAAAGCGUGCGUAGGCGGCUUAGCAAGUCAGAAGUGAAAUCCCCGGGCUCAACCCGGGAACUGCUUUUGAAACUGCUUCGCUAGAAUAUUGGAGAGGUCAGGAGAAUUCCUAGUGUAGAGGUGAAAUUCGUAGAUAUUAGGAGGAAUACCAGUGGCGUAGGCG